rnacentral:rRNA from 1 species
UACGUAGGUGGCAAGCGUUGUCCGGAGUUAUUGGGCGUAAAGCGCGCGCAGGCGGUGCGGUAAGUCUCUGGUGAAAGCGCUCGGCUUAACUGGGCGAGGGCCGGGGAGACUGCCACGCUGGAGGGGAGCAGAGGCGAGUGGAAUUCCGGGUGUAGUGGUGAAAUGCGUAGAUAUCGGGAGGAACACCUGUGGCGAAAGCGGCUCACUGGACCACAACUGACGCUGAGGCGCGAAAGCUAGGGGAGCAAACAGG